CACUACUAAAGAAAGGCUUAUCUUUCAUUCCUACUCCGGGAGCCAAUAGAUUAGAUUGGCUCAAGGGUACCAAUCUAUUUGAGGAAAUUGGCCCUGUGUGCCCUUCAUAAACGAAAGGAACAUAAAUUGUGCAAGGAAAUUGGUAUUUCCUCAGAAGACCAUCCCCAUCUACAAACUCUAGCACAAUUAUUAGAUGAACAGGACGAUACUCCACCCCUCACAGACUUGAAACCUCCAAGCUGGUACACUCCUAAUUUUAAAGAGCUCACUAAUGUUGAUCUAUUUGUCCAAAUAACUACCAACAAGAUUGAAAAAUUAUUAAUACCUAACAUAGAAGAACAAAAUCUGACAUUUAAUGAACAAGAGCUUUGCAGGAAUUGAGUACCAACAAAAACCUCAUUAUAAAGUCUUCGAACAAAGGAGGUAACACAGUCCUUUUGAAUUGCGACCUGUACAUCUCAAUGAUAGACACUUCAUGUUAUGAAAAACGUACCAAGGUGUUAGAAAACUAUAUACUUUUAUUCCCCAAGUUACUGUCCCUGCGUUCAGUUGAUAAAUCUAUUGAACACCGACCACCCCCCUGGCUCAUUAAGUUCAAAGAAACCCCAAAAUUAAGUGCUCUCCCUGUGUGGCCGCCAUUUGUAUAACCGAACAACAAGUGCUGACGAAAAUGGUGGCCAUCUUGUCGCACGAAAGCAGGCAGCGGGACUUGGUCGUUGAGUGUCUGGAACUCUAAGUCUAACACUCGAUCACGCGAACAGUGGGCAAACUUCACGAACACCUGCUUCGUUCCACGACAAACCUGGAGAGCGCUGUUCGGUAGGUUUGUUCGCACGAACAAGGCAAACAAACACUACCUCUUAGCCAGGGGAACCGCUCAUUGUUUCGUUCGGUUUGGAACUCCCAAAAUUGCCACAGAAACUACCACAUACCACAGAAACUAUGGAACUGUUUUGGGCGUGCGCCUCAUGAGCGGUUGGCCAAAACUUUACCCCGGUGGUGAUUCGACUGUGUUCGUGGAAUCUAUGUGCUAUUUGCACAACUUGGGCGCUCAGGUCAAGGCUAUCUGGCGAUAUGACAUUUAUGGGGGUUCCUAUAUGUUUUGUGUGUAUUAUUAUGUAUUUUUAAUAUUUU